rnacentral:rRNA from 1 species
AGUGAAGCGACAAAAGCUCAAAUUUGAAAUCUGGCACCUUCGGUGUCCGAGUUGUAAUUUGAAGAAGGUAACUUUGGAGUUGGCUCUUGUCUAUGUUCCUUGGAACAGGACGUCACAGAGGGUGAGAAUCCCGUGCGAUGAGAUGUCCAACUCUAUGUAAAGUGCUUUCGAAGAGUCGAGUUGUUUGGGAAUGCAGCUCUAAGUGGGUGGUAAAUUCCAUCUAAAGCUAAAUAUUGGCGAGAGACCGAUAGCGAACAAGUACAGUGAUGGAAAGAUGAAAAGAACUUUGAAAAGAGAGUGAAAAAGUACGUGAAAUUGUUGAAAGGGAAGGGUUUGAGAUCAGACUUGGUAUUUUGUAUGUCUUGCUUUCGGGUGGGGCCUCUGCAGUUUACUGGGCCAGCAUCGGUUUGGACGGUAGGAUAAUGACAUUGGAAUGUGGCACUACUUCGGUGGUGUGUUAUAGACUUUGUUGAUACUGCCUGUCUAGACCGAGGACUGCGUCUUUGACUAGGAUGCUGGCAUAAUGAUCCUAAACCGCC